GCGUUAUCCGGAUUCACUGGGUUUAAAGGGUGCGUAGGUGGGAAUGUAAGUCAGGGGUGAAAUCUCUGAGCUUAACUCAGAAACUGCCAUUGAUACUAUGUUUCUUGAAUUUUCUGGUGGUCAGCGGAAUAUGUCAUGUAGCGGUGAAAUGCUUAGAUAUGACAUAGAACACCAAUUGCGGAGGCAGCUGGCUGCAGCGAUAUUGACACUGAGGCACGAAAGCGUG
rnacentral:rRNA from 1 species